rnacentral:rRNA from 1 species
UACAGAGGGUGCAAGCGUUAAUCGGAAUUACUGGGCGUAAAGCGUGCGUAGACGGUCAUGUAAGUCGGGUGUGAAAGCCCCGGGCUCAACCUGGGAAUUGCAUUCGAGACUGCAUGGCUAGGAUGCGGAAGAGGGAAGCGGAAUUUCCGGUGUAGCGGUGAAAUGCGUAGAUAUCGGAAGGAACACCAGUGGCGAAGGCGGUUGGGCUGGGCAGGUGCUGACACUGAGGCGCGACAGCGUGGGGAGCAAACAGG